AGUGAACGCUGGCGGCGUGCUUAACACAUGCAAGUCGAACGAGAACGGAUUAUAGCUUGCUAUAAUUGUCAGCUAAGUGGCGCACGGGUGAGUAAUGUAUAGGUAAUAUGCCUCUUACUAAGGGAUAACAAAUGGAAACGUUUGCUAAUACCUUAUACUCCUUAUUAACAGAAGUUAAUAAGGGAAAGAUUUAUUGGUAAGAGAUUAGCCUGUAUUGUAUCAGUUAGUUGGUGAGGUAAUGGCUUACCAAGACUAUGACACAUAACUGGUUUGAGAGGAUGAUCAGUCACACUGGAACUGAGACACGGUCCAGACUCCUACGGGAGGCAGCAGUGGGGAAUAUUGCACAAUGGACGAAAGUCUGAUGCAGCAACGCCGCGUGGAGGAUGACACAUUUCGGUGCGUAAACUCCUUUUAUACGAGAAGAUAAUGACGGUAUUAUAUGAAUAAGCACCGGCUAACUCCGUGCCAGCCGCCGCUGUAA
rnacentral:rRNA from 1 species